UGAUGACAUGAACUUGUUAGUUCCUCUGUCCAUUUAGUAGCUGAUAUAUUGUGGAAAUCCGGUAGAAAUGACGCACUAAUCAGUCAUGUUUUCAUAGAAACAACACGCCACCAGGCUUUGUGUCAUGGUCUGUGUUUUUCUCUGUGUUUAUUUUUAGUUUUCUGAGUCUCCUUGUUGUCCUGUCUCCCCUUGGUUGUUCCCAGGUGUGUCUGUUCCCUGAUUACCUCCUGUGUAUUUAAUGUCACCUGUGUCUCUGUGUCUUUGUCGGCUCCUUGUCUGAUGUUUGCUGGUCGUCGUGUCCAUUCAUUUAUCCUGUUUGCUACCAGUGUUGAGCCUCAGCUCAACGGAAAUCUAUUAUGCCAGUGAAAAAAUGAAAACGACACUAAAAUAAAAGUUGCUUAGAGAACCAAGAAUAUUUACUAUGACCUCAGCUGACCCACAAACAUGACUGUGGAAGCACUAGGGAAGAACUAGCUCCAACCUUCUGCUGCUGAGUGGCCUCCAACACCUCCUUGGUGCGGUACAUCACCAUCUCCUUAUCUUUGAGCUCAGCUGUGCUGCCAGGUUUUUUUGGACGUUGGGUUUGUUUUUCAUUAUUAAAAUAAUCAUUUUCUCAUAUCUGCCUGGAUCCUCAGCGUCUGCCUCACCACCUCACACCACCACUUCAUGACACUUUGUGAGACUUCAGGUCACGGGUCGGUUGUGGGCGGAGCUUGGCAAGGUUCUGGUCGUGUUCUGGUUGAAUUCUGGUCAGGUUCUGGUCUCGUUUUGGUGGUGGUCUGGUCAGGUUCCGGUCAGGUUCUGGUCAGGUUUUGGUGGUGUUCCGGUCAGGUUCUGGUUGGGUUGUGGUCUUGUUCUGGUGGUGUUCCGGUCAGGUUUUGGUCGUGUUCUGGUCAGGUUUUGGUCGUGUUCUGGUCUGGUUCUGGUGGUGUUCUGGUCGGGUGCAGUA